CGAGCGGCAAAUAAAAACAACAAAAAUCAAAAGCGGAAAACUGAAAUUAGCGGAAGAAUAAAGUGGAGAAAAAACUUUUGAACACCGAAAAUUCGCAAAAGGAGAAGAAGAUGAAGAAGAAAGUGAAAACAGGAGACUAUGAGUUCUGCAAAUUCUGCAAAAUCAAUCACAAUCAAGGUCGACGCCAUAAUUUCUUCCCACGCCACACAAAUUCUCUCUCCUCUCUUUUCUCUCGCUUCCAACAUAAGCUCUCUAACAUCAAAUUCUCUUUGAAAAACCCUAGCUUUGUAUUUUCUUCUCCGGAUUCUCGCGAUUAUCGCCUUUGGUGCAUAUUUUGCGAUUGCGACAUUGUUGAAUUCGACAGUACUUUCGUCAGUGGUAAUGCUAUUAAGCAUUUAGCGAGUGAGGAUCAUUUGAAGAAUUUGAAGCAUUUUCUGUGGAAGUAUGGUGGUGACAUGAACAAAGUGGAUACUUUUAGAAUUACAGAGGUUGAGUUAGCUAAGUGGGAAAGGAGGUGUGAAGUACUGAAGAAGGAUGCUGCAUCAUCAAGCGAGAUUUAUCAUGGAUCUUCACAUGGGAAUUCGGAUGAUAUCCAAACAAACUAUGAAAUCAUAAAUAAUUUCUACAAUAACAAUAUUCACAUUCUUGAAUCAAAUCUCUCAAAAGAUGUUAUGCCUUUACAAUAUGCUACAAAUGAGAAUUACCAGGUACAUCUUUCAGAUAUCUCAGUCGCUGGUAAAGUUGGUUCUCUCUUAUGUGAUCUGGGUUCGUAUACGCCUUCCAGGAGUUUGACAUGCAUGAGCCAAAGUAGGCAACAAUCCCUCACCGCUAGCGCGAUGAAAUUCUCGGCUGAUAGUCUUGUCAAAACAGAAGUCUGUCAGACUCAAAGCACUGCCAGUAGAGAGCCUACUACUGAGGGUUCUCAGAGUCUCACUCAAAUUCCGUUUGGGGGAUUGGAGGACAUUAAAGGAAAUGUUCAUUCUGGGGCCCUGCCUCCUUGGCUCGAAGGAUUUGAAGCAUGUAAAGAAAAUGGGCAAUCAAGAGGGCCUAGAGCUAAUAGUGCUCAAAAGAAUAGUAGAAAGACCAACAAAUUGAACCCUGAGAGGGUAGGGGCUGCAUGGGCAGAGAAAAGGAAAUUGGAACUCGAGAUGGAGAAGAGAGGAGAGAUAGUUGCUAAUGUUUCCGAUGCUAAUUGGCUUCCAAACUUUGGUAGGGUGUGGCAAUCAGGUAGCCGAAAGGAAUCCAUGAAAGAAUUCAAGAAGCAAACGAAAAACGGGCCCAAAGCUGAAAAGGAAGUUAAGUCUGAGAUCAAGUUACAACCUUAUAUCAGCAAAUCGAUGCAGCGACGUACAUAUGACAUUUCCAAAGAUGUUCAAAAGACUGGUGAUAUCUCCUAAUAUUGUUCAACUGUAGGAACUCCCUUGAGAACCAUUUCUCUAUCGCCCGAUCUACGUCGUGUAUCAGUACAUUUGUUGUUAUAUUUCCAGCUCUAGCUAUCAAGCUUGAUGUGUAGAUGGCUGUCAUCCUUCCAGGCGCUUCUGGUCCAUCACUACUUGGACCAUCAACAAGUAUCACAUCCCAUUUGGUUGUAUAUACCUCAUUUGGCAAGUUUGCUAAUGCCAACUUGCAAAUUGAUGUUUCUAGGGGUCUCGAAUGAGGAGCACAAGCAACUUCCUCUCUUGCAUGUUUUAGCAAUUUGGGUGUCCUCAAGAAUAACAGUCGUUCCUGCAGUGUUAAUCUUUACCAAGCGACGGUAUUGGGGUUCCCAUCCAAAGAUUAGAAGGUUGCAGGGUGCUCUCUGAGUGAUGAUCUUUGAUAGAAACUGGUUUUCCUUUUUUGUAAUCGGCUUGCUAUUUGGAGAAGAUGAAGCCUUCAUAUGAGAGGAAACUCCCCUGCAGCUUGACUCUGAGUAAUUGCAGGUCUUUACAAAAUCUCCCCACCCAUAUUGUGGUGAAGAAGAAAAUGUGGUGAUGGCAAACUUUAGAAGCCUAAAGAUGGACAUGCAAGCAAGUAUAAAAAGAAGUAUGUGAAAGAAUCUCUUACUUGUGAGAUUGAUUUGCAUUUUUUUCAGCUGCCUAUGUUUAUGGCUGCCAGAAGAAUUAGCUGUUGGUCUCGACGAGACAGGACGGAUCUGGAGAGGUUGGCAAGCAAGUGAAGUAGAUAAUUCUGGAGGCAUGGUUUUUCCUUGUAAUCUAUUCUACUGUAAAAGUAAUGUGAUAUAGCGUCAUAUGUUCAUGAUGUGGAACAUAUGGGGCUUGGAAAAUGAUGGUUAGUUAUGCUGAUGGUGAAGCUUUGGUGUUGUUUCUGACGAAGUGACAUUGUCUGGCUUCCAUUGCAAGGGUUAUCUUUUUCUGUUGUCCUUCCUGCCUCCUACCUAACUUGCUGAAGGUGUAAUCAUAUAUGUGGGAUUCAACCUCUACAUCUACAAAACGUAGUUAUAGACUUAUAGCAGGAAAAAAUUGUAAGAGUGAGUCAUUAUUGUAUUGUUAUUGUUGCUGAAAUUAUUGUUGAUUGAUGUGAGUUUUUAGAACUUUUUCCUUGGGGGUCGGAAAGGAAGCGGUAGAAGGAAAACUGGUUUAACUUGGAACUUUGUUUAUCUGAUAUGUCAGAGUGUGUUGGUUAUAAUAUUUACGUCAAACGGUUGUUGGAA